rnacentral:rRNA from 1 species
UUCGCAAUGCCCGAAAGGGUGACGAAGCGACGCCGCGUGCGGGAAGAAGGCCUUCGGGUUGUAAACCGCUGUCGGGAGUUAAGAAAUGCGAGGGUGUUAACAGCAUCCUUGCUUGACUAAGGCUCCGGAGGAAGCCACGGCUAACUCUGUGCCAGCAGCCGCGGUAAUACAGAGGCGGCAAGCGUUGUUCGGAAUUAUUGGGCGUAAAGAGCACGUAGGCGGCUGUGUAAGUCGGUUGUGAAAGCCUUCCGCUCAACGGGAGAACGGCAUCCGAUACUGCAUAGCUUGAGUGCGGGAGGGGAGAGUGGAACUUCUGGUGGAGCGGUGAAAUGCGUAGAUAUCAGAAGGAACGCCGGCGGCGAAGGCGACUCUCUGGCCCGUAACUGACGCUGAGUGUGCGAAAGCUAGGGGAGCAAACGGGAUUAGAUACCCCGGUAGUCCUAGCCGUAAACGAUGGGCACUAAGUAGAGGGGUUUU